rnacentral:tRNA from 1 species
GGACCGGCUGGGUGAGGCCGGGCGGCUCGACCGGCUGCGGGCCGGUCUGGGGCCCGGGCUGCGGUCCCGCCUGCGCCGCC